CCUACGGGCGGCAGCAGUGAGGAAUAUUGGUCAAUGGACGCAAGUCUGAACCAGCCAUGCCGCGUGCAGGAAGACGGCUCUAUGAGUUGUAAACUGCUUUUGUACGAGGGUAAACGCAGAUACGUGUAUCUGUCUGAAAGUAUCGUACGAAUAAGGAUCGGCUAACUCCGUGCCAGCAGCCGCGGUAAUACGGAGGAUUCAAGCGUUAUCCGGAUUUGUUGGGUUUAAAGGGUGCGUAGGCGGUCGGAUAAGUUAGAUGUGAAAUCCCGGGGAUCAACUUCGGAGUUGCCUCUGAUACUGGUCGGCUAGAGAGUAGUAGCGGUAGGCGGAAUGUAAGGUGUAGCGGUGAAAUGCUUAGAGAUCAUGCAGAACACCGAUUGCGAAGGCAGCUUACCAAGCUACUUCUGACGUUGAGGCACGAAAGCGUGGGGAGCAAACAGGAUUAGAUACCCCAGUAGUC
rnacentral:rRNA from 1 species